CCUACGGGUGGCAGCAGUGGGGAAUAUUGCACAAUGGGCGCAAGCCUGAUGCAGCCAUGCCGCGUGUGUGAAGAAGGCCUUCGGGUUGUAAAGCACUUUCAGCGGGGAGGAAGGCGUUAAGGUUAAUAACCUUGUCGAUUGACGUUACCCGCAGAAGAAGCACCGGCUAGCUCCGUGCCAGCAGCCGCGGUAAUACGGAGGGUGCAAGCGUUAAUCGGAAUUACUGGCGUAAAGCGCACGCAGGCGGUCUGUCAAGUCGGAUGUGAAAUCCCCGGGCUCAACCUGGGAACUGCAUUCGAAACUGGCAGGCUAGAGUCUUGUAGAGGGGGGUAGAAUUCCAGGUGUAGCGGUGAAAUGCGUAGAGAUCUGGAGGAAUACCGGUGGCGAAGGCGGCCCCCUGGACAACGACUGACGCUCAGGUGCGAAAGCGUGGGGAGCAAACAGGAUUAGAUACCCGAGUAGUC
rnacentral:rRNA from 1 species